AUUGAACGCUAGCGGGAUGCUUUACACAUGCAAGUCGAACGAGUGGCGGACGGGUGAGUAAUAUAUCGGAAGUGCCCAGUAGCGGGGGAUAACUACUGGAAACGGUAGCUAAUACCGCAUACUAUCGGAUAACCCAUAUGGGAUUAGCUAGUAGGUGAGGUAAUGGCUAGCCUAGGCGACGAUCCCUAGCUGGUCUGAGAGGAUGAGCAGUCACACGGGGACUGAGACACGGCCCAGACUCCUACGGUGGAAGCAGUGGGGAAUAUUGCACAAUGUGCGCAAGCCUGAUGCAGCCAUGCCGCGUGUAUGAAGAAGGCCCUAGGGUUGUAAAGUACUUUCAGUCGGGAGGCGUUACCGACAGAAGAAGCACCGGCUAACUCCGUGCCAGCAGCCGCGGUAAUAC
rnacentral:rRNA from 1 species